rnacentral:pre_miRNA from 1 species
UAUUAAAAAAUUCAUCCAAUUUUAAUGUUAAAGUGACUGGCGGAAUAAUCAGAUAGUUACAUGUGGUAUGCUUACGUACAUGGGUCAGGUUUUAACAAUAGAAAUAGAUGAAUUUUUUAAUA